GGGUUGUGAGGUUAAGCGACUAAGCGUACACGGUGGAUGCCCUGGCAGUCAGAGGCGAUGAAGGACGUGCUAAUCUGCGAUAAGCGUCGGUAAGGUGAUAUGAACCGUUAUAACCGGCGAUUUCCGAAUGGGGAAACCCAGUGUGAUUCGACACACUAUCAUUAACUGAAUCCAUAGGUUAAUGAGGCAACCGGGGGAACUGAAACAUCUAAGUACCCCGAGGAAAAGAAAUCAACCGAGAUUCCCCCAGUAGCGGCGAGCGAACGGGGAGCAGCCCAGAGCCUGAAUCAGUGUGUGUGUUAGUGGAAGCGUCUGGAAAGGCGCGCGAUACAGGGUGACAGCCCCGUACACAAAAAUGCACAUGCUGUGAGCUCGAUGAGUAGGGCGGGACACGUGGUAUCCUGUCUGAAUAUGGGGGGACCAUCCUCCAAGGCUAAAUACUCCUGACUGACCGAUAGUGAACCAGUACCGUGAGGGAAAGGCGAAAAGAACCCCGGCGAGGGGAGUGAAAAAGAACCUGAAACCGUGUACGUACAAGCAGUGGGAGCACAGAGCAAUCUGUGUGACUGCGUACCUUUUGUAUAAUGGGUCAGCGACUUAUAUUCUGUAGCAAGGUUAACCGAAUAGGGGAGCCGAAGGGAAACCGAGUCUUAACUGGGCGUUAAGUUGCAGGGUAUAGACCCGAAACCCGGUGAUCUAGCCAUGGGCAGGUUGAAGGUUGGGUAACACUAACUGGAGGACCGAACCGACUAAUGUUGAAAAAUUAGCGGAUGACUUGUGGCUGGGGGUGAAAGGCCAAUCAAACCGGGAGAUAGCUGGUUCUCCCCGAAAGCUAUUUAGGUAGCGCCUCGUGAAUUCAUCUCCGGGGGUAGAGCACUGUUUCGGCAAGGGGGUCAUCCCGACUUACCAACCCGAUGCAAACUGCGAAUACCGGAGAAUGUUAUCACGGGAGACACACGGCGGGUGCUCGUCCGUCGUGAAGAGGGAAACAACCCAGACCGCCAGCUAAGGUCCCAAAGUCAUGGUUAAGUGGGAAACGAUGUGGGAAGGCCCAGACAGCCAGGAUGUUGGCUUAGAAGCAGCCAUCAUUUAAAGAAAGCGUAAUAGCUCACUGGUCGAGUCGGCCUGCGCGGAAGAUGUAACGGGGCUAAACCAUGCACCGAAGCUGCGGCAGCGACGCUUAUGCGUUGUUGGGUAGGGGAGCGUUCUGUAAGCCUGUGAAGGUGUACUGUGAGGUAUGCUGGAGGUAUCAGAAGUGCGAAUGCUGACAUAAGUAACGAUAAAGCGGGUGAAAAGCCCGCUCGCCGGAAGACCAAGGGUUCCUGUCCAACGUUAAUCGGGGCAGGGUGAGUCGACCCCUAAGGCGAGGCCGAAAGGCGUAGUCGAUGGGAAACAGGUUAAUAUUCCUGUACUUGGUGUUACUGCGAAGGGGGGACGGAGAAGGCUAUGUUGGCCGGGCGACGGUUGUCCCGGUUUAAGCGUGUAGGCUGGUUUUCCAGGCAAAUCCGGAAAAUCAAGGCUGAGGCGUGAUGACGAGGCACUACGGUGCUGAAGCAACAAAUGCCCUGCUUCCAGGAAAAGCCUCUAAGCAUCAGGUAACAUCAAAUCGUACCCCAAACCGACACAGGUGGUCAGGUAGAGAAUACCAAGGCGCUUGAGAGAACUCGGGUGAAGGAACUAGGCAAAAUGGUGCCGUAACUUCGGGAGAAGGCACGCUGAUAUGUAGGUGAAGUCCCUCGCGGAUGGAGCUGAAAUCAGUCGAAGAUACCAGCUGGCUGCAACUGUUUAUUAAAAACACAGCACUGUGCAAACACGAAAGUGGACGUAUACGGUGUGACGCCUGCCCGGUGCCGGAAGGUUAAUUGAUGGGGUUAGCGCAAGCGAAGCUCUUGAUCGAAGCCCCGGUAAACGGCGGCCGUAACUAUAACGGUCCUAAGGUAGCGAAAUUCCUUGUCGGGUAAGUUCCGACCUGCACGAAUGGCGUAAUGAUGGCCAGGCUGUCUCCACCCGAGACUCAGUGAAAUUGAACUCGCUGUGAAGAUGCAGUGUACCCGCGGCAAGACGGAAAGACCCCGUGAACCUUUACUAUAGCUUGACACUGAACAUUGAGCCUUGAUGUGUAGGAUAGGUGGGAGGCUUUGAAGUGUGGACGCCAGUCUGCAUGGAGCCGACCUUGAAAUACCACCCUUUAAUGUUUGAUGUUCUAACGUUGACCCGUAAUCCGGGUUGCGGACAGUGUCUGGUGGGUAGUUUGACUGGGGCGGUCUCCUCCUAAAGAGUAACGGAGGAGCACGAAGGUUGGCUAAUCCUGGUCGGACAUCAGGAGGUUAGUGCAAUGGCAUAAGCCAGCUUGACUGCGAGCGUGACGGCGCGAGCAGGUGCGAAAGCAGGUCAUAGUGAUCCGGUGGUUCUGAAUGGAAGGGCCAUCGCUCAACGGAUAAAAGGUACUCCGGGGAUAACAGGCUGAUACCGCCCAAGAGUUCAUAUCGACGGCGGUGUUUGGCACCUCGAUGUCGGCUCAUCACAUCCUGGGGCUGAAGUAGGUCCCAAGGGUAUGGCUGUUCGCCAUUUAAAGUGGUACGCGAGCUGGGUUUAGAACGUCGUGAGACAGUUCGGUCCCUAUCUGCCGUGGGCGCUGGAGAACUGAGGGGGGCUGCUCCUAGUACGAGAGGACCGGAGUGGACGCAUCACUGGUGUUCGGGUUGUCAUGCCAAUGGCACUGCCCGGUAGCUAAAUGCGGAAGAGAUAAGUGCUGAAAGCAUCUAAGCACGAAACUUGCCCCGAGAUGAGUUCUCCCUGACUCCUUGAGAGUCCUGAAGGAACGUUGAAGACGACGACGUUGAUAGGCCGGGUGUGUAAGCGCAGCGAUGCGUUGAGCUAACCGGUACUAAUGAACCGUGAGGCUUAACCUUACAACGCCGAAGGUGUUU
rnacentral:rRNA from 1 species